UUUGUUUCUGCUCUAGCCGGUUGCCUGUGUGUUUCUGCUCUAGCCGGUGCCUGUGUGUUUCUGCUCUAGCGGUGCCUGUGUGUUUCUGCUCUAGCCCGGUGCCUGUGUGUUUCUGCUCUAGCCGGUGCCUGUGUGUUUCUGCUCUAGCCCGGUGCCUGUGUGUUUCUGCUCUAGCCCGGUGCCUGUGUGUUUCUGCUCUAGCCCGGUGCCUGUGUGUUUCUGCUUUAGCCUUCCACAUGGAAGCCAUUAAGUGUUUUCUGACCAGCCACACGUUUCACUUCUGCACAUGCACCAUGAAAACAAUGCAGAAAUAAAUUAAAUAAUUUCUCCUUACCUCUCUCUCUUUUAUGAAGGGAAGUAAUCAAAGGACAGUCAGGUGGUGCGGAGCCUGGAAAAGAGUCAUGUAAUUAUGUUGGGAGUGGGAUAAUAUAUUUCCUUUGGAAAAAGAGAAGGCCUCAGCAUAGUUCUGAGAUUAGGUUUUAGAUCAGGCCAGCUCUGCUAAUAGUUGUUUAUUAGAACAUUUAAAGAUGUUAAAUACCAAGUAUCAACGCUUACAGCCUAAA
ensembl:lncRNA